UACUUCCGGUAGCGAUACCAGUACCAGUUCCAGAACCUACACCGCUACCACUUGUUUCUAAAGAUCUACAACUAGAUGCUGAAUCACCGCAUCCACCGGCGACGCUGCAACCUUGCUGUUGCUCGCACUCUGAAACAAUAAAACAUCUGAAUUAGUAUAUUUUAUGUAUAAUCAAAUUACACAAAAAGAAACAAUGGUGAGUAUGAGCAAAGCAACAAUGUGAAGAGAUAACAAAUGAAUGAUGUGUGUAUGAUUAAUGUGUAGUAUUAAUGAAUAGCAAUAAGCGGUGCUAUUGUACAAAGAAUUAACAAAUAUAUUUCUUGUUUUUAUUUCAGCGAUUGUCCAUUAAGAAAAAGUGUGUGUCCGGCAAGUUAUUACCCAGCCAUUUAAUUGCUUUCAAUGCAAAGAACGAAGCUCUUUCUUUGAUAUUGCUAUAAAUGAACUAAAUCAAAGCGAACAUGAACUCCUCGUAUAUUUGUACUAUCGUUCAUGAGUCAUAUCGGACAGCUAGAACUCUCUAAACCAUAACUACCACAAAACGCGUACCCUGAAGAUAAGACAUCACCCCGGUUGUAAAGGAGUUUAUUCCUCUUGGCUUCUUAUGCUCUUAACGUAACACUGGUAUGAUGUAGAGAAAGUCAUUUUUGAUGAAACCAA
rnacentral:lncRNA from 1 species